rnacentral:lncRNA from 10 species
AGACAUCGCUGCGGCCGGGAUAGGGCGCCGCCGUUCUGGCCGGCUUUCUCGGUGCCCUGGAGGACCUGGCCGGCUCCGCGGGAAGCUGUACUCAGAGCGCGCGGCCGCCCUCUGGCAGGGAGGAGUUCGUUGCACUUUUGAGGGUUCUUCACGAAGACAUCCAAUACAUAGAAAACAAGUAACAGCAACAGUAACGAAUUUUUAAAUAUUAAAAUUGCUGGGGAACACGACGGAUCCUGCAGCUGCUCGGCUGUCCCGGUCGUCAGUGACGCUAGGGCUCCGCACCGUACCCUGCAUACCGUAGGUGCUCACGAAACGUUCGUGAGUUCCCUGCUCUGAGGAAACAAGCUUAAAAACUCAGAAUCUAAGGUGUGAGUCUCCGCAAACCUGCUUGUUGGGCAGCGUCCCCCGCCCGGGCUAGCCCUGCACGCCCCACCCCGGAGCCACGCUUCUCCAGCCGGGACCCCUGCCUCCUUCCAGGCUAUUCUCGGAACCGCAGCCAGAGGGAAUUUUUUUUUCCUUUCCUGAAACGUAGAGCAGAUCUGGUUACUCUUCUGCACAACGCCCUAAAAUCUAGGGCCCUUCCCAUCCCUCAGAAUUUACAUCUAAUUCUCAGCUCCCCUCCGGCUUGCUGUAGCCAUCCUGGCUUUUGUUUAGCACAGCACUUACUGUUAGUGACAUUAUAUUGUAUAUUAUUAACAUAUUUGUGUUUUACAUCCCUCACUAGACCCCCAGGAAAGAGGCUUUGAUGUGUUGCCUGCUGCAAGGCUGGCUGCAUAAUUUGUGGAGCUCAGAGAAAAGUGCGGAGCUUCCUUGUUCAAAAAACAGAAAGAAAGUGCCUCUGAGGUCAUAAAAUAUAAAACUUUCUCUUUCCUCUCAGUUUCUCUCUUUUCAUAGUGUUUUUAUGUGUUAUUUAAUAUCAUUCCAAGAAAAAUUUAGAUUUAAAUUGUUAGCAUGAAGUUCACCAUCCAUCUUUACGUUGUGCAAUGCCAGUUUUAAAUACUAAUAUAAGUGCACUGAUCUCAUAUGUGGAAUCACAGAAAUUAUGCAAUUUGUACUUCAUAGCUUAUACAUGCAUAUAGAUUUUGUUUUUACCAGAACCACGCUGGUAAAAACAGAUGCUGCACAAAGUGAACUUGCCCGUUUUCAUCGCACUUUACGUGCACGAAUUCUACCUCUACUCUCGACCUGGGACUCACCGAUGCGUAAGGAAGGACUGAAAAGCAAAAGAACUAUGGACUGGCCUUUUGGCAUGAUCAGGUGUCUAAUAUAAAGAAGUGCAUGAAUAAGAAAAUAUAUGAUAUGAGUGAUGGUUAAUACUGACUGUCAACUUGAUUGGAUUGAAGGAUGCAAAGUAUUGAUCCUGGGUGUGUCUGUGAGGGUGUUGCCAAAGGAGAUUAACAUUUGAGUCAGUGGGCUGGGAAAGUUCGACCCACUGUUAAUCUAGAUGGACACCAUCUAAUCAGAUGCCAGUGCAGCUAGAAAUGUAAAGCAGACAGAAAAAUGCGAAAAGAGAGACUGGCCUAGCCUGCCAGCCUACAUCUUUCUCCCACGCUGGAUGCUUCCUGCCCUCGAACAUCAGACUCCAAGUUCUUCAGUUUGGGACUUGGACUGGCUCUCCUUGUUCCUCAGCUUGAAGACUGCCCAUUGUGGGACUUGUGAUCAUAAAACCAAAUAAGUGUCCCAGUGACAUUUUGCCACGGAUGUUCCCACUGUUGGAAUUACUGUCAACGAUACGUGUUUAGUGGGUGAGGACCCAGUUUUCUUCCUGACCUGUAGGAGGGAUGGAGGAAGAUGGCUCUGGGUGCGGGCAGACAUGUGAUGGUCAAACCCUGAGGAGGAGGAACUUUCUAUGCCUGGGACUGCAUCAAAGCCCCUGAGUUACCAGUGAUUGUGCAUUCCUCUGGAAUCCCUCUUUUUUCUGAACCCCAGGUCUUAGAAUGGCUGCUCAUAAUCUAGAACAGGGUGGGACAAUCAAUAGCACAUUUGCACCUCAUAGGCCUGAAGAUGUAAGUUCAGGGCCCCGUGUUGAGAAGAAUCGUAAAGCUCAGUUGGAAAGCAAGCCAUGAUCAAUUAGUGAUGCCAUUUAGAACUGGGUUUUCAUCCACUAAACAAGUAACAUUGACAGCAAUUCCAACAGUGGAAACAUCCAUGGCAAAAUGUCACUGGGACCCUUAUUUGGUUUUCUGGGAAAGGAAGAAGAGGAAAAAUAAAAAGAACUUGAAUUAGUCACCUGCUUUUCAUCAGACAUUGAACAGGCACUUUCAGACAUGGUAUCUCCUUCCCUGCCUUGCAGUAAUCAAUUAUGGAGAAAUCAAUUAGUGAUGUCUGCCACAGGCUAGGGCUAAAGGAAGGCAGCACACGCCAGCUUGUGAGAAUUCCUUUCCCUAGUGCAAGGUUUGGUUCAAAUACCAUCUUACAACCAUAUCCCAAGAUUUAGAAUUAAAGCAAUAUAUGAGCUAAAGGGUAAUGAGAUCAUCCCUAUCAUUGUUUCUAUAAUGUAGGCAGUUAAUUUACUAUACUACCUUAUAUUAUAAUUUUUUCUUAUUCUUACCACCAGAUUCUAAGCUCCUUGAAGGCAGGCACUUCUUCUAAAUCAUCCUUACGUAGCCAUGAUUCCCCCUCCCUCUCUCUCACUUCCAACUCUAAUGCAUGCAUUCAGGCUUUCUUCUGGUGACACAUUCAAAAAAUGUUUGCUGAGCCCCUAUUAGGGACUAGAAGUGACAACAAGAGGACAAGGCUCAGCUCCGUGGACCUUGCGGCUCGGCACAAGGCAGGUGCCCCGAAGCUCUGCUGCUAAAUCUGCCUGCUGGACUCAUGGCAUCCUACUCCUAAGGCCUGGCCAGUGGUGACUUGGGCUGUGGCCGAAGCUGAGUGAGCAUUAGGGACCAGCACUGGGUGUAGAGCAGCCUUCCGUGGCAGGGCCUUAGUGAGAGGAACUCAGAAGAGAUGCUAGCAGAAGGUGGGAGGUGAUUGAAAUGCCAGAGACUCAGGGGGUCCCAGGGACUAGUUUGCUAGCAGAGGUGGUUGCAUUUUCUCAAAUUUCUACAAGUUUCUGGAGUAAGCUUGGAAAGCCAGGCAGCUUCUGAUGAGUAAGCAGAGGCUGCCACCGCACAAUGUGGGGACUCUAACUCCCGCCGGUCAGCGCAGAGGGAAUGCCCGUCUGUCCUGCGGUGCAAUGAUCAAAGGCUUCCUUCAUGGAAUUCUCCCCCUGCAUUCCUGCUUUCUUGUGAGAAUUAGUUAGACAUUUCACCUUAACUUCACUUAUCGGAAAAAUUGAAAGGAUAAGACUAAAUUAUUUUGUAUCUAUUGAGC